UUGUGCGUGUUUCAAGCGGCUG
rnacentral:miRNA from 1 species